rnacentral:rRNA from 1 species
AGUGAACGCUGGCGGUAUGCCUAACACAUGCAAGUCGAACGGCAGCACAUUAAGCGCUUGCUCUUUCGGGUGGCGAGUGGCGGAUGGGUGAGGCAUACAUCGGCAUCUAUUUUUUCGUGGGGGAUAACGUAGGGCAACUUACGCUACUACCUCAUACGACUUACGGGUGAAUUCAGGUUUUCUUCGUACCUUUCGCUCUUUAAUGAGCCAUUGUCGGUUUAGCUAGUUGGCGGGGUAAAGGCCCACCAAGGCGACGAACAGUAGCUGGACUGACAGGAUGGUCAGCCACGCUGGAACUGAGACAAGGGCCAGACUCCUAAGGGAGGCAGCAGUGGGGAAUAUUGGACAAUGGGCGCAAGCCUGAACCAGCCAUACCGCGUGGGGGAAGAAGGCUUUCGGGUUGGAAAGACCUUUUGUUGGGAAAGAAAAGCAGCAGGUAAAUAAACCGCUGUUCUGACGGUACAAAAAGAAUAGAAACCGGCUAAAUUCGUG